AAACAAUGGGAAUCUCAUCGUUACAUUCUAGAGAUGAUUAGGUGUUAUGAAAAAAAUAAUAACAAUUUUUAUUUUUAUAAACAAUAGCCAGCAGCCGGGCAAUUAUUGGAUUUUGACAUUUUUCGAGAAAAUUGAGAGUAGAGAAAAAUCUAGGGUGUUAGGAAACGAUGGGAAUCCCAUCGUUACAUUCUAGAGAUGAUUAGGUGUUAUAAAAAAAAUAAUAACAAUUUUUAUUGUUAUAAACAAUAGCCAGCAGCCGGGCAAUUAUUAAAUUUUGACAAUUUUUGAGAAAAUCGAGUGUAGAAAAAAAUCUAGUGUGUUAGGAAACGAUGGGAAUCCCAUCGUUACAUUCUAGAGAUGAUAAGGUGUUAUGAAAAAAAUAAUAACAAUUUUUAUUUUUAUAAACAAUAGCCAGCAGCCGGGCAAUUAUUGGAUUUUGACAUUUUUCGAGAAAAUUGAGAGUAGAGAAAAAUCUAGGGUGUUAGGAAACGAUGGGAAUCCCAUCGUUACAUUCUAGAGAUGAUUAGGUGUUAUAAAAAAAAUAAUAACAAUUUUUAUUGUUAUAAACAAUAGCCAGCAGCCGGGCAAUUAUUAAAUUUUGACAAUUUUUGAGAAAAUCGAGUGUAGAAAAAAAUCUAGUGUGUUAGGAAACGAUGGGAAUCCCAUCGUUACAUUCUAGAGAUGAUAAGGUGUUAUGAAAAAAAUAAUAACAAUUUUUAUUUUUAUAAACAAUAGCCAGCAGCCGGGCAAUUAUUGGAUUUUGACAUUUUUCGAGAAAAUUGAGAGUAGAGAAAAAUCUAGGGUGUUAGGAAACGAUGGGAAUCCCAUCGUUACAUUCUAGAGAUGAUUAGGUGUUAUAAAAAAAAUAAUAACAAUUUUUAUUGUUAUAAACAAUAGCCAGCAGCCGGGCAAUUAUUAAAUUUUUACAUUUUUUGAGAAAAUUGAGAGUAGAGAAAAAUCUAGGGUGUUAGGAAACGAUGGGAAUCCCAUCGUUACAUUCUAGAGAUGAUAAGGUGUUAUGAAAAAAAUAAUAACAAUUUUUAUUUUUAUAAACAAUAGCCAGCAGCCGGGCAAUUAUUGGAUUUUGACAUUUUUCGAGAAAAUUGAGAGUAGAGAAAAAUCUAGGGUGUUAGGAAACGAUGGGAAUCCCAUCGUUACAUUCUAGAGAUGAUUAGGUGUUAUGAAAAAAAUAAUAACAAUUUUUAUUUUUAUAAACAAUAGCCAGCAGCCGGGCAAUUAUUGGAUUUUGACAUUUUUCGAGAAAAUUGAGAGUAGAGAAAAAUCUAGGGUGUUAGGAAACGAUGGGAAUCCCAUCGUUACAUUCUAGAGAUGAUUAGGUGUUAUAAAAAAAAUAAUAACAAUUUUUAUUGUUAUAAACAAUAGCCAGCAGCCGGGCAAUUAUUAAAUUUUGACAAUUUUUGAG